rnacentral:lncRNA from 1 species
AAAAAAAUAAUCUGUUUUCCCCAUUUCUCUCUGAAAAAGGGUUUGGAGAUUGGCCAGGGAGGUUCAAUGGAUCACUACCGUGGCCUCGUCGUGGCUCUGCCAUGAAUGGCGAUUGAGAGCGCACGGAUCCGGCUCCCUUCUAGGCCAUUUCCAAGCCUUUUCCUUUUAAAAAAAAAAACAAAAAGAAAACUAGAUCUAAGAGAUUUAAAACUGUAUUAAGAGAAAAAGAUGUAAAUCAUGGAAGAAACGUAUUCGUUUUCAUGGAAGAAACGUAUUCGUUUUCAUGGCUUCUCCGACCAUCGUCGGAACCCAAACGGGUUUCAUGACGUUUGGGCUACCAGAGACCCUCAUCAACGACAGGCGGCGCGCCAAGGUAGGAUUAUUAUUAUUAUUAUUAUCAUUGCCUUUUUGUAUUUCUAAAACAAAGAAAUGAAAUGAACAAAAAAAUGCACCUUUUUUACUGAAUCUGAUUCUUGUAUUACUAUUGAAAGUAUUCAUAACAAAAAACAUUGGCUUGAUUUUCGGUUUUUAUAUCCAAAAAAUGAUACAUAUUUUAAUUCUUUCUCUUGUUUUCUUUGCGUACUGCUCUUGUUCUGUCUACUUUCUCCCAUUUUUGCAUGUUUGCAGGUAUAUAAGGGAAGUCAACGGGGCAAAGGCUUCCUUUUUGGUGCAACGGGAUAAGAGGAGAUGAGCCUCGAGCAUUGGACGUGCCGACGAGGCACGUGGGGUGUGCGGCGCUGGAAAAAAACUAGGGCUUCUAGGUCUGUCGAAAUUGGCUUGGGUUUUGGACCUAUUGGGCCAUCAAAAAUUGGGUUGGGAUUUAGGUUUCAUUUGUAAAGUGGGUUAGAUAUGAUUUGGGCUAUUCGGGCUUUUAUAAAUGGAUUGUAAUAAUUUUGGAUUUUUUUAAAAUUCGGGUUUUGUUAUUACCGUUGGGUUUUCUAAUGGGCUGGGUAAAUUUGGGCCCGCACAUGAUCACUUUAGCAAGUUUUGCACCUUUUUUAGUGUAGUCUUUUUUAUUUAAC